ACUCCUACGGGAGGCAGCAGUGGGGAAUUUUGGACAAUGGGGGCAACCCUGAUCCAGCCAUGCCGCGUGAGUGAAGAAGGCCUUCGGGUUGUAAAGCUCUUUCGGCCGGGAAGAAAUCGCAUGGGUUAAUACCCUGUGCGGAUGACGGUACCGGCAUAAGAAGCACCGGCUAACUACGUGCCAGCAGCCGCGGUAAUACGUAGGGUGCGAGCGUUAAUCGGAAUUACUGGGCGUAAAGCGUGCGCAGGCGGUUUUGUAAGACAGGCGUGAAAUCCCCGGGCUCAACCUGGGAACUGCGUUUGUGACUGCAAGGCUAGAGUACGGCAGAGGGGGGUGGAAUUCCACGUGUAGCAGUGAAAUGCGUAGAGAUGUGGAGGAACACCAAUGGCGAAGGCAGCCCCCUGGGUCGAUACUGACGCUCAUGCACGAAAGCGUGGGUAGCAAACAGGAUUAGAUACCCUGGUAGUCCACGCCCUAAACGAUGUCAACUAGGUGUUGGGUGGGUAAAACCAUUUAGUACCGGAGCUAACGCGUGAAGUUGACCGCCUGGGGAGUACGGCCGCAAGGUUAAAACUCAAAGGAAUUGACGGGGACCCGCACAAGCGGUGGAUGAUGUGGAUUAAUUCGAUGCAACGCGAAAAACCUUACCUACCCUUGACAUGUCCAGAAGCCUGAAGAGAUUUGGGUGUGCCCGAAAGGGAGCUGGAACACAGGUGCUGCAUGGCUGUCGUCAGCUCGUGUCGUGAGAUGUUGGGUUAAGUCCCGCAACGAGCGCAACCCUUGUCGUUAAUUGCCAUCAUUUAGUUGGGCACUUUAACGAGACUGCCGGUGACAAACCGGAGGAAGGUGGGGAUGACGUCAAGUCCUCAUGGCCCUUAUGGGUAGGGCUUCACACGUCAUACAAUGGUCGGUACAGAGGGUUGCCAAGCCGCGAGGUGGAGCCAAUCCCAGAAAGCCGAUCGUAGUCCGGAUCGUAGGCUGCAACUCGCCUGCGUGAAGUCGGAAUCGCUAGUAAUCGCGGAUCAGCAUGUCGCGGUGAAUACGUUCCCGGGUCUUGUACACACCGCCCGUCACACCAUGGGAGCGGGUUCCGCCAGAAGUAGGUAGCCUAACCGCAAGGGGGGCGCUUACCACGGCGGGGUUCGUGACUGGGGUGAAGUCGUAACAAGGUAACC
rnacentral:rRNA from 1 species